ACCGAGUUGCUCAAGUCGAUUUAAAGUAUCUGAUACUCGGCGAAGACUCAU
rnacentral:sRNA from 1 species